UACGUAGGGGGCAAGCGUUGUCCGGAUGUACUGGGCGUAAAGAGCGUGUAGGCGGCCAAGCAGGUCCGAUGUGAAAACUGGAGGCUUAACCUCCAGACGUCGACGGAAACCGCGUGGCUAGAGUCCGGAAGAGGAGAGUGGAAUUCCUGGUGUAGCGGUGAAAUGCGCAGAUAUCAGGAAGAACACCAAUGGCGAAGGCAGCUCUCUGGGACGGUACUGACGCUGAGACGCGAAAGCGUGGGGAGCGAACAGG
rnacentral:rRNA from 1 species